GGUUAACAGUUUUCAGCUAUGAUGAUGAAUCCUAGCAACAGAUCAGAUUAAAACACUUUAUUUCCACUGUUUGCCACCUUGUAAAGUUCUAGCUUCCAUUGCUACAUUCAUUAGCUCCACGUCGUCUUCUCUAUUUUUUGUGGAAGCCUUACAGUGCUACAUACAGGCCUGGCAUAUGUACUACAGCAUUUCAAGUGUUUGGUUACAGAAGGGA